CUGGAGUGCGAGUUAGUGGUCGUCCUCCUGCAGGGGGAGAUCGCCGCCGGCGUCAGCUACGACGCCCUGGUCCAAGAGUCUGUCCGGAUUUGCGUCAGCCAAGUGGGGAUGACGGAGACCUUUUGCCAGGGAUACGUACCUCAAGUCGUUCCUAUCCUGUACUACAUCUUCACCCACAACAACGUUUCCGCCGCGGACUUCUGCGGAAUGGUCCUCUCCUACUGGGGUUGCACCACCAGUAGCCCCGACCGCGAGUGGACAGUCUCCAUCCACGGCGAAAAACCUCUUGUGGCGCCGGUGGAGCUGCCAGAGCCCGACGCCCCCAAGCUGAAGG